rnacentral:rRNA from 1 species
GAAACAGGUUAAUAUUCCUGUACUUGGUGUUACUGCGAAGGGGGGACGGAGAAGGCUAUGUUGGCCGGGCGACGGUUGUCCCGGUUUAAGCGUGUAGGCUGGUUUUCCAGGCAAAUCCGGAAAAUCAAGGCUGAGGCGUGAUGACGAGGCACUACGGUGCUGAAGCAACAAAUGCCCUGCUUCCAGGAAAAGCCUCUAAGCAUCAGGUAACAUCAAAUCGUACCCCAAACCGACACAGGUGGUCAGGUAGAGAAUACCAAGGCGCUUGAGAGAACUCGGGUGAAGGAACUAGGCAAAAUGGUGCCGUAACUUCGGGAGAAGGCACGCUGAUAUGUAGGUGAAGCGACUUGCUCGUGGAGCUGAAAUCAGUCGAAGAUACCAGCUGGCUGCAACUGUUUAUUAAAAACACAGCACUGUGCAAACACGAAAGUGGACGUAUACGGUGUGACGCCUCCCCGGUGCCGGAAGGUUAAUUGAUGGGGUUAGCCGCAAGGCGAAGCUCUUGAUCGAAGCCCCGGUAAACGGCGGCCGUAACAAUAACGGUCCUAAGGUAGCGAAAUUCCUUGUCGGGUAAGUUCCGACCUGCACGAAUGGCGUAAUGAUGGCCAGGCUGUCUCCACCCGAGACUCAGUGAAAUUGAACUCGCUGUGAAGAUGCAGUGUACCCGCGGCAAGACGGAAAGACCCCGUGAACCUUUACUAUAGCUUGACACUGAACAUUGAGCCUUGAUGUGUAGGAUAGGUGGGAGGCUUUGAAGUGUGGACGCCAGUCUGCAUGGAGCCGACCUUGAAAUACCACCCUUUAAUGUUUGAUGUUCUAACGUUGACCCGUAAUCCGGGUUGCGGACAGUGUCUGGUGGGUAGUUUGACUGGGGCGGUCUCCUCCUAAAGAGUAACGGAGGAGCACGAAGGUUGGCUAAUCCUGGUCGGACAUCAGGAGGUUAGUGCAAUGGCAUAAGCCAGCUUGACUGCGAGCGUGACGGCGCGAGCAGGUGCGAAAGCAGGUCAUAGUGAUCCGGUGGUUCUGAAUGGAAGGGCCAUCGCUCAACGGAUAAAAGGUACUCCGGGGAUAACAGGCUGAUACCGCCCAAGAGUUCAUAUCGACGGCGGUGUUUGGCACCUCGAUGUCGGCUCAUCACAUCCUGGGGCUGAAGUAGGUCCCAAGGGUAUGGCUGUUCGCCAUUUAAAGUGGUACGCGAGCUGGGUUUAGAACGUCGUGAGACAGUUCGGUCCCUAUCUGCCGUGGGCGCUGGAGAACUGGGGGGGGCUGCUCCUAGUACGAGAGGACCGGAGUGGACGCAUCACUGGUGUUCGGGUUGUCAUGCCAAUGGCACUGCCCGGUAGCUAAAUGCGGAAGAGAUAAGUGCUGAAAGCAUCUAAGCACGAAACUUGCCCCGAGAUGAGUUCUCCCUGACUCCUUGAGAGUCCUGAAGGAACGUUGAAGACGACGACGUUGAUAGGCCGGGUGUGUAAGCGUAGCGAUGCGUUGAGCUAACCGGUACUAAUGAACCGUGAGGCUUAACCU